rnacentral:rRNA from 1 species
ACAUCUAAGUACCCCGAGGAAAAGAAAUCAACCGAGAUUCCCCCAGUAGCGGCGAGCGAACGGGGAGGAGCCCAGAGCCUGAAUCAGUGUGUGUGUUAGUGGAAGCGUCUGGAAAGGCGCGCGAUACAGGGUGACAGCCCCGUACACAAAAAUGCACAUACUGUGAGCUCGAUGAGUAGGGCGGGACACGUGGUAUCCUGUCUGAAUAUGGGGGGACCAUCCUCCAAGGCUAAAUACUCCUGACUGACCGAUAGUGAACCAGUACCGUGAGGGAAAGGCGAAAAGAACCCCGGCGAGGGGAGUGAAAAAGAACCUGAAACCGUGUACGUACAAGCAGUGGGAGCCUCUUAAUGGGGUGACUGCGUACCUUUUGUAUAAUGGGUCAGCGACUUAUAUUCUGUAGCAAGGUUAACCGAAUAGGGGAGCCGAAGGGAAACCGAGUCUUAACUGGGCGUUAAGUUGCAGGGUAUAGACCCGAAACCCGGUGAUCUAGCCAUGGGCAGGUUGAAGGUUGGGUAACACUAACUGGAGGACCGAACCGACUAAUGUUGAAAAAUUAGCGGAUGACUUGUGGCUGGGGGUGAAAGGCCAAUCAAACCGGGAGAUAGCUGGUUCUCCCCGAAAGCUAUUUAGGUAGCGCCUCGUGAAUUCAUCUCCGGGGGUAGAGCACUGUUUCGGCAAGGGGGUCAUCCCGACUUACCAACCCGAUGCAAACUGCGAAUACCGGAGAAUGUUAUCACGGGAGACACACGGCGGGUGCUAACGUCCGUCGUGAAGAGGGAAACAACCCAGACCGCCAGCUAAGGUCCCAAAGUCAUGGUUAAGUGGGAAACGAUGUGGGAAGGCCCAGACAGCCAGGAUGUUGGCUUAGAAGCAGCCAUCAUUUAAAGAAAGCGUAAUAGCUCACUGGUCGAGUCGGCCUGCGCGGAAGAUGUAACGGGGCUAAACCAUGCACCGAAGCUGCGGCAGCGACACUAUGUGUUGUUGGGUAGGGGAGCG